rnacentral:rRNA from 1 species
AACGAACGCUGGCGGCAGGCCUAACACAUGCAAGUCGAGCGCCCCGCAAGGGGAGCGGCAGACGGGUGAGUAACACGUGGGAACCUUCCCUAUAGUACGGAAUAGCCCAGGGAAACUUGGAGUAAUACCGUAUACGCCCGAGAGGGGAAAGAUUUAUCGCUAUAGGAUGGGCCCGCGUAGGAUUAGCUAGUUGGUGAGGUAAUGGCUCACCAAGGCGACGAUCCUUAGCUGGUCUGAGAGGACGACCAGCCACACUGGGACUGAGACACGGCCCAGACUCCUACGGGAGGCAGCAGUGGGGAAUAUUGGACAAUGGGCGCAAGCCUGAUCCAGCCAUGCCGCGUGAGUGAUGAAGGCCUUAGGGUUGUAAAGCUCUUUUUGCCGGGGACGAUAAUGACGGUACCCGGAGAAUAAGUCCCGGCUAACUUCGUGCCAGCCGCCGCCGUAAU